rnacentral:rRNA from 1 species
CAGGUAAUGCUCAGUACGGCGAGUGAGCGGCAAGAGCUCAAAUUUGAAAUCUGGCCCCUCCGGGGUCCGAGUUGUAAUUUGCAGAGGAUGCUUCGGGUGCGGCCCCUGUCUAAGUGCCCUGGAACGGGCCGUCAGAGAGGGUGAGAAUCCCGUCUUGGGCAGAGUGCCCGUGCCCGUGUGAAGCUCCUUCGACGAGUCGAGUUGUUUGGGAAUGCAGCUCAAAAUGGGUGGUAAAUUUCAUCUAAAGCUAAAUACCGGCCGGAGACCGAUAGCGCACAAGUAGAGUGAUCGAAAGAUGAAAAGCACUUUGAAAAGAGAGUUAAACAGCACGUGAAAUUGUUGAAAGGGAAGCGCUUGCAACCAGACUCGGCCUCGGGGUUCAGCCAGCAUUCGUGCUGGUGUACUUCCCCGGGGCCGGGCCAGCGUCGGUUUGGGCGGCCGGUCAAAGGCCCCAGGAAUGUAUCGUCCUCCGGGACGUCUUAUAGCCUGGGGUGCAAUGCGGCCAGCCUGGACCGAGGAACGCGCUUCGGCACGGACGCUGGCGUAAUGGUCGCAAACGACCCGUCUUGAAC